UUGAACGCUGGCGGCAGGCCUAACACCUGCAAGUCGAGCGGAUGAAGGGAGCUUGCUCCUGGAUUCAGCGGCGGACGGGUGAGUAAUGCCUAGGAAUCUGCCUGGUAGUGGGGGAUAACGUCCGGAAACGGGCGCUAAUACCGCAUACGUCCUGAGGGAGAAAGUGGGGGAUCUUCGGACCUCACGCUAUCAGAUGAGCCUAGGUCGGAUUAGCUAGUUGGUGGGGUAAAGGCCUACCAAGGCGACGAUCCGUAACUGGUCUGAGAGGAUGAUCAGUCACACUGGAACUGAGACACGGUCCAGACUCCUACGGGAGGCAGCAGUGGGGAAUAUUGGACAAUGGGCGAAAGCCUGAUCCAGCCAUGCCGCGUGUGUGAAGAAGGUCUUCGGAUUGUAAAGCACUUUAAGUUGGGAGGAAGGGCAGUAAGUUAAUACCUUGCUGUUUUGACGUUACCAACAGAAUAAGCACCGACUAACUUCGUG
rnacentral:rRNA from 1 species